UAAUAGAAUUAUGGAUGAAUUAUUAGAUAAGACCGUGGUUGCGGGCAAGUCAAUAGAGACAGAAACUGCACGUGAUCGUAAGUAUUCAGUCCAGCCGUCUCUCGUUACAGAGAAAAAUAUGUUUGGUCCAUGAUGCUCCGCAAGAAAAGAUGAUUUAAAGAAUUGCGUAAGACGAUACAUAUGCGAACUGACGUACAAAAGGUCGUAGAACGUUUCGAUAAGCGUUGGAAUAAGGCUGGCGGUUCUUUUUGAAAAAUACAU